rnacentral:rRNA from 1 species
CCUACGGGAGUCAGCAGUGAGGAAUAUUGGUCAAUGGACGCGAGUCUGAACCAGCCAAGUAGCGUGAAGGAUGACUGCCCUAUGGUUUUUAAACUUCUUUUAUAUGGGAAUAAAAUAUUCCACGUGUGGGAUUUUGUAUGUACCAUAUGACUAAGGAUCGGCUAACUCAGUGCCAGCAGCAGCGGUACUACGGAGGAUCCGAGCGUUAUCCGGAUUUAUUGGGUGUAAAGGGAGCGUAGGUGGAUUGUUAAGUCAGUUGUGAAAUAUUGCGGCGCAACCGUAAAAUUGCAGUUGAAACUGGCAGUCUGGAGUACAGUAGAGGUGGGCGGAAGUGGUGGUGUAGCGGUGAAAUGCUUAGAUAUCACGAAGAACGCCGAUUGCGAAGGCAGCUCACUGGACUGCAACUGACACUGAGGCUCGAAAGUGUGGGUAUCAAACAGGAUUAGAUACCCGGGUAGUC